UUUCCGUUGGUGAACCUGCGGAAGGAUCAUUAUUGAAUGAACUUGGUAGUGGUUGUAGCUGGCUCUCUCGAGAGCAUGUGCACACCCGCCAUCUUUAUCUUUCCACCUGUGCACUUCUUGUAGACUUUGGGAUUUGAAAACUUAUCCGGGGCAACUCGGUCGGGAGGAGCUGCUGUAGCAAUACGGCUCUCCCUGACAAGUCUUCAAAGUCUAUGUUUUUCAUAUACCCCAUAGUAUGUAACAGAAUGUAUACAAAUGAGCCUUAGUGCUUAUAAAACUUAUACAACUUUCAACAACGGAUCUCUUGGCUCCC
rnacentral:misc_RNA from 1 species